AAGUGCUUUACAAUCCGAAGACCUUCUUCACACACGCGGCAUGGCUGGAUCAGGCUUUCGCCCAUUGUCCAAUAUUCCCCACUGCUGCCUCCCGUAGGAGUCUGGACCGUGUCUCAGUUCCAGUGUGACUGAUCAUCCUCUCAGACCAGUUACGGAUCGUCGCCUUGGUAGGCCUUUACCCCACCAACUAGCUAAUCCGACCUAGGCUCAUCUGAUAGCGUGAGGUCCGAAGAUCCCCCACUUUCUCCCUCAGGACGUAUGCGGUAUUAGCGCCCGUUUCCGGACGUUAUCCCCCACUACCAGGCAGAUUCCUAGGCAUUACUCACCCGUCCGCCGCUGAAUCCAGGAGCAAGCUCCCUUCAUCCGCUCGACUUGCAUGUGUUAGGCCUGCCGCCAGCGUUCAAUCUGAGCCAGGAUCAAACCCUA
rnacentral:rRNA from 1 species